CCUACGGGGGGCUGCAGUGAGGAAUAUUGGUCAAUGGACGAGAGUCUGAACCAGCCAAGUAGCGUGAAGGAUGACUGCCCUAUGGGUUGUAAACUUCUUUUAUAUGGGAAUAAAAUGUUCCAUGUGUGGGAUUUUGUAUGUCCCAUAUGAAUAAGGCUCGGCUAACUCCGUGCCAGCAGCCGCGGUAAUACGGAGGAUCUGAGCGUUAUCCGGAUUUAUUGGGUUUAAAGGGAGCGUAGGUGGAUUGUUAAGUCAGUUGUGAAAGUUUGCGGCUCAACCGGAAAAUUGCAGUUGAAACUGGCAGUCUUGAGUACAGUAGAGGUGGGCGGAAUUCGUGGUGUAGCGGUGAAAUGCUUAGAUAUCACGAAGAACUCCGAUUGCGAAGGCAGCUCACUGGACUGCAACUGACACUGAGGCUCGAAAGUGUGGGUAGCAAACAGGAUUAGAUACCCCUGUAGUC
rnacentral:rRNA from 1 species